CCCCUCAUGGCUCAGAUGGUAAAGUGUCUGUCUGCAAUGCAGGAGACCCGGGUUCGAUCCCUGGGUUGGGA
rfam:TPA: Bos taurus chromosome 9, whole genome shotgun sequence.